rnacentral:rRNA from 1 species
GCCGCCCUCUCUCUUCGUGCUUAACACAUGCAAGUCGAACGGUGAAGCGCCUUCCUUUUUGGUGGGUGUGGAUGAGUGGCGAACGGGUGAGUAACACGUGAGUAACCUGCCCCCUUCUUCUGGAUAACCGCAUGAAAGUGUGGCUAAUACGGGAUAUUCUGGGUCUGUCGCAUGAUGGGUCUGGGAAAGAUAUUGUUUCGGUGGGGGAUGGGCUCGCGUGCUAUCAGCUUGUUGGUGGGGUGAUGGCCUACCAAGGCGGUGACGGGUAGCCGGCCUGAGAGGGUGUACGGUCACACUGGGACAGAGACACGGCCCAGACUCCUACGGGAGGCAGCGGUGGGGAAUAUAGCACAAUGGGAGCAAGCCUGAUGCAGCGACGCCGCGUGAGGGAUGGAGGCCUUCGGGUUGUGAUCCUCUUUCGCCAGUGAAGCAGGCCUGCCGCGUUUGUGGGUGGGUUGACGGUAGCUGGAGAAGAAGCGCCGGCUAACUACGUG